AACGAACGCUGGCGGCAGGCUUAACACAUGCAAGUCGAACGGGUGUAGCAAUACAUCAGUGGCAGACGGGUGAGUAACACGUGGGAACCUUCCUAGGGGUACGGAACAACUCAGGGAAACUUGAGCUAAUACCGUAUACGUCCGUGAGGAGAAAGAUUUAUCGCCCUUAGACGGGCCCGCGUCGGAUUGGCUAGUUGGUGGGGUAACGGCCUACCAAGGCGACGAUCCGUAGCUGAUCUUAGAGGAUGAUCAGCCACACUGGGACUGAGACACGGCCCAGACUCCUACGGGAGGCAGCAGUGGGGAAUCUUGGACAAUGGGCGCAAGCCUGAUCCAGCCAUGCCGCGUGAGUGAAGAAGGUCUUCGGAUUGUAAAGCUCUUUUGCCAGGGACGAUAAUGACGGUACCUGGAGAAUAAGCCCCGGCAAACUUCGUGCCAGCAGCCGCUGUAACAC
rnacentral:rRNA from 1 species